UACGUAGGGUCCGAGCGUUGUCCGGAAUUAUUGGGCGUAAAGAGCUUGUAGGCGGUUUGUCGCGUCUGCUGUGAAAAUCCGGGGCUCAACCCCGGACUUGCAGUGGGUACGGGCAGACUAGAGUGUGGUAGGGGAGACUGGAAUUCCUGGUGUAGCGGUGAAAUGCGCAGAUAUCAGGAGGAACACCGAUGGCGAAGGCAGGUCUCUGGGCCACUACUGACGCUGAGAAGCGAAAGCAUGGGGAGCGAACAGGAUUAGAUACCCCCCGUAGU
rnacentral:rRNA from 1 species